AAAGAACUUCCUGGAAUGGCCUGGCAGGGGCCUGAGGAGGAGAUGGCUCUUGCUGUGGGAGCAGGGGCGGAACUGAGAUAAUCCUACAAUAUACAGCAGAUUCAGGAAGCCGGAGGUCAGAAGAGUGGGAGUAUAGCACUGAUGACCCCUGCAAUGUGUGAAAUUUUUAAACUAAACAGGUCAGGAGAAAUCCAGUUUCAUUUUCCAGGAGUUUAAGGAAUAGCCCAAGGAAGAUACCAGAUCAACUUCCUUGCAUCAGACUACCUCCUAAGCUCCAAUUCUCUCCUGCUCUUUUUUGCUUUAUUUUUAUUGUGUAACAAUAGAAGCGAUGGGCUGGGACUUUCCGAGCUUGGCUACCCUCUUUCGAGUGGGCCCCGCACAGCUGUGAACAUCAGGUGUACGCUGCGUUCCACGCUGUCAUCUCAGGCGAUGCACUGGGAGAGCAGAUUUUUUUUUCCUCCUCCUUCU